CCUACGGGGUGCAGCAGUGGGGAAUAUUGGACAAUGGGCGAAAGCCUGAUCCAGCCAUGCCGCGUGUGUGAAGAAGGCCUUCGGGUUGUAAAGCACUUUCAGUGGGGAAGAAAGCCUUGGGGCUAAUACCCUCGAGGAAGGACAUCACCCACAGAAGAAGCACCGGCUAACUCCGUGCCAGCAGCCGCGGUAAUACGGAGGGUGCGAGCGUUAAUCGGAAUUACUGGGCGUAAAGCGCGCGUAGGCGGUCUGAUAAGCCGGUUGUGAAAGCCCCGGGCUCAACCUGGGAACGGCAUCCGGAACUGUCAGGCUAGAGUGCAGGAGAGGAAGGUAGAAUUCCCGGUGUAGCGGUGAAAUGCGUAGAGAUCGGGAGGAAUACCAGAGGCGAAGGCGGCCUUCUGGACUGACACUGACGCUGAGGUGCGAAAGCGUGGGUAGCAAACAGGAUUAGAUACCCUGGUAGUC
rnacentral:rRNA from 1 species